UGUUACCUUAAAUACACCGUCUCUACUUUAAUUUUAAAAUUUUCAAAGUUUGAGCUUCAUUUCAAAACUUUACUAAACUAAAACUUUGUGACUAUUAGAAGUGCUUUAGUGAUUAUAAACAGAUAUUAACAUAAUUUUGUAAAAUAAAAGGUUAAGAACCAUAUAAUAAUUUUUAGAAACAACAAUGCUACACUAAUUUUAUUUUGUUUUUAUACCCUAAAAAAAUAAUUAAAAAAAAAAAAUUAACUCUCACCUUCUUAAUAAAUAGACCCAAAACAUUAUGGAAUGGCUUAUUGAGAAUAUUGCACAAAUAUUUUAUGUUACUAUGGAAUAGAAUGGUCAUUUCAUAGGUUUAUUAAUAGAAUGGAUUUUUAUUAUAUUGGAAUGGUCAUUUCAUUUUAUUUUUGUACACCAAAUAAUUGAAUGGUUAGACUUAAUAUUUCAUUCAAUAAAUAUGAGUUGCACACCACAAAACAUAGAUAAAGGCUAAAAGAUAAAUAAACUUUUCCCUAAUAUUUUAUAAAGUAGAAUAGUCUUAUUUUCGACACUCGAAAGAAAAAUCGAUAGCGGGUUAUAAAAUAUUGAAGUGAGGACCAGAAGAAGAAGAAGAAGAAGAAGAAGAAGAAGGCUCAAUGACGUUCAUGAGAGGAGAGCCGUUGGUGGCGAAGCUGGCGGUGUUGGCCAAGUACGCGGUGCUUCCGGGAGCCAUGCUGGCUGCUGUGAUCUAUUCACCUCCCGAUUACACUUUGCCGAAGAAAAACGAUUCAAACAAGUAGAUUCAUCCCCAAUCCAGCUAGGAACUCUUUUACUGCAGAUGCAUUUUGGUGGCUGUGUGAUCUCUAUAAGGGGGAUCUGGUAUGUAAUAAUGCUUUUGGCCUCUAUGGUGUUGUACUCCAUGUAGGCAUAUGGGAAUUUGAAUAUUUUUCUUUCCCUUUGAAGAACAUUGAGUAGUAACCUUUUCUUGUCAUGCUUUGGAGAUGGUUUUAUAAAUUCUAGUUACUCCUUUAUUUAAAUUAUAAAUGUUUAGUAAGUAUAAUGCUUUGAAUUAA